UACGUAGGGGGCGAGCGUUACCCGGAUUUACUGGGCGUAAAGCGCGUGUAGGCGGCUGGUCAAGCGUGGUGUGAAAUCUCCGGGCUCAACCCGGAAACUGCAUUGCGAACUGACCUAGCUGGAGUGCAGGAGAGGGCAGCGGAAUUCCCGGUGUAGCGGUGAAAUGCGUAGAUAUCGGGAAGAACACCAGUGGCGAAGGCGACUACCUGGCCUGUUCUUGACGCUGAGGCGCGAAAGCUGGGGGAGCAAACGGG
rnacentral:rRNA from 1 species